GACGAACGCUGGCGGCGUGCCUAAUACAUGCAAGUAGAACGCUGAAGGAGGAGCUUGCUUCUCUGGAUGAGUUGCGAACGGGUGAGUAACGCGUAGGUAACCUGCCUGGUAGCGGGGGAUAACUAUUGGAAACGAUAGCUAAUACCGCAUAAGAGUAGAUGUUGCAUGACAUUUGCUUAAAAGGUGCAAUUGCAUCACUACCAGAUGGACCUGCGUUGUAUUAGCUAGUUGGUGGGGUAACGGCUCACCAAGGCGACGAUACAAAGCCGACCUGAGAGGGUGAUCGGCCACACUGGGACUGAGACACGGCCCAGACUCCUACGGGAGGCAGCAGUAGGGAAUCUUCGGCAAUGGACGGAAGUCUGACCGAGCAACGCCGCGUGAGUGAAGAAGGUUUUCGGAUCGUAAAGCUCUGUUGUAAGAGAAGAACGAGUGUGAGAGUGGAAAGUUCACACUGUGACGGUAUCUUACCAGAAAGGGACGGCUAACUACGU
rnacentral:rRNA from 1 species